AUGUCGAACGCUGGGGGCACCUCCGUCCUCCCGGCGCCUUGCCGGCAGGCUGGUCAUCGCGCCCUCCUCCCCCUCCCGUCGGCUCCCCAGUUCGUGGCGAGGUUCCGCUCGAACCGUCGUCUUCGACUCUCCCCCGUCAGCGCCUCCGGGCACGCCUCCAGGAUUCCUCCCACCGAAGCGCGCUGUUUCCGGGCCCUCUCCGGCAGUCGACACCGUCCUCCUCCACUCCACCGGAUUCGCUCGGGGACUCCGUGCUGUGCAUAUGUCGAGAAGAUGUUGGUAGCAGAAACGGCAAGCCCACUAGACGUGCACCAAAAGGACCGUGAGGCUAGAAUAAGGAAGCAGCUCCACAAGGUUGAACUACCGCCAUCUCCGUACGAUACCGCGUGGGUAGCUCUGGUGCCCUUGCGGGGCUCCCCUCACACUCCAUGCUUCCCUCAAUGUGUUGAAUGGAUAUUGCAAAACCAACAUGAAAAUGGAUCUUGGGGUAUCAACGACUUUGGAUCAUCAGCCAACAAGAACGUUCUCUUAUCCACAUUGGCAUGUGUUCUUGCUCUUGAGAAAUGGAAUCUUGGCCAAGAGCACAUAAGGAGAGGACUGCAUUUUAUCGGAAGACAUUUCUCCCUUGUCAUGGAUGAGGAGAUUGCUGCUCCUACAGGCUUCAACAUGAUUUUUCCUGGUAUGCUUAGCCUUGCCAUUGGGGUGGGUUUGCAAUUUCCUGUCAGACAAACUGACAUUGAUGGGAUGCUUCACCAAUGGAAGAUGGAAUUGAAAAGGUCUGUUGAUGAAAAAAUAUUGGCCGGGGAGAAAUCUUAUGGCAGAGAAGCAUAUAUGGCCUAUGUCGCGGAAGGGUUAGGAAACUUGCUGGACUGGAAUGAAGUUAUGAAGUUUCAGAGGAAGAAUGGGUCGUUGUUCAACUCUCCUUCCACAACUGCUGCUGCGUUAGUCCACAACUAUGAUGAUAAAGCCCUCGAGUACUUAAAUAUGCUAGUCAGUAAAUUUGGUGGUGCAGUACCAACAGUGUAUCCGCUAAAUAUGCACUGCAAGCUUUCAAUGGUGGAUUCGCUUGAAAAGAUCGGAAUUUCUCGGCAUUUUUCUAGUGAGAUAGAGGGAAUCUUGGACAUGGCAUACAGUUUCUGGUUACAGAGAGACGAGGAAAUUAUGAUGGAUGUAGCAACAUGUGCAACGGCGUUCCGCCUUUUACGGAUGAAUGGGUAUGAUGUAUCCCCAGAUGAGCUGUCUCAUCUUGGUGAAGCCUCUAAUUUCCAUAAUUCACUUCAAGGAUAUUUAAAUGAUACAAAAUCUGUACUGGAACUAUACAAGGCUUCAAAAGUCAGUGUAUCAGAACAUGAAUUAAUCCUAGAUAACAUUGGCAAUUGGUCUGGCAGCUUAUUGUCAGAAAAGUUGUGCUCUGAAAGGGUGCAAGGCCUACCAAUCUUAGAGGUCGAGUAUGCCGUUAAGUUUCCGUUCUAUACCACGCUGGAACGCCUAGACCACAAGAGGAACAUCGAACAUUUUGAUGCUAGAGGUUCUCACAUCCUGAAGACAGAAUGCUUGCCGUAUGGUAUCAACCAAGAACUUUUGGCUUUGGCUGUUGAAGAUUUCACAUUUUCUCAAUCUAUCUACCAGGAUGAACUCCUGCAUCUUGAUAGGUGGGUGAAAGAAAACAGGUUGGACCAGCUACAAUUUGCACGACAGAAGUUGACAUAUUGUUAUCUAUCUGCUGCUGCUACGAUUUUUCCUCCUGAACUUUCUGAUGCUCGCAUAUCGUGGGCCAAAAACGGUGUGCUCACAACCGUUGUUGAUGACUUCUUCGAUGUUGGAGGAUCAAAAGAAGAACUAGAAAACCUCAUAGCAUUAGUUGAGAAUUGGGAUGAGUAUCACAAAGAUGACUUCUGUUCGGAGCAAGUAAGGAUUGUAUUUUGUGCUCUCUAUACCACAGUGAACCAGCUUGGAUCGAUUGCUUCUGCCGUACAAAACCGUGACGUUAAAAAUCACCUGAUAGAAACAUGGCUACAUCUAUUGAGGUCUAUGAUGACCGAGGCAGAAUGGCAGAGGAGCCAAUAUGUGCCAACAAUGGAAGAAUACAUGACAAACGGGGUAGUUUCAUUCGCACUGGGGCCCAUUGUGCUUCCAGCAUUGUAUUGUGUCGGGGAAAAGCUAUUGGGGAGUGCUGUCAAAAAUCAAGAGUACAGUGAGUUAUUUAGGCUAAUGAGCACCUGUGGCCGUCUCCUCAAUGACAGCCAAGGCUUUGAGAGGGAGGGCAGCGAGGGGAAACUAAACAGCGUUUCGCUACUCGUUCUUCACAGCGGUGGCUCUAUGUCCGUAGAAGCGGCUAAGAAUGCGAUACAGAAGUCCAUAGUCGCCUCGAGGCGAGACUUGCUAAGAUUGGUCCUCAAGGAAGGCACUGCUGUUCCCAGGGCAUGCAAGGAGCUGUUCUGGAAGAUGUGCAAGAUACUUCACCUGUUCUACUUCCGGACCGACGGAUUCAGCUCGCCAAAGGAAAUGGCCAGCGCGGUGAAUGCUGUUAUCAACGAACCACUCAGGCUCUCAAGUUGA
rnacentral:rRNA from 1 species